rnacentral:lncRNA from 1 species
UCGUUCUUGUUUUAAGAAAUCUAAAUAAUAGGGAGAAUUACACACAAUGUUGUCACGAAUGUAAGAUUAUAACGUUAUAUGUGUAUAGAAGAUUCGCUCAUUGUACUACUUCGUGUUGACUCACAGGUUCAGUCAAGUUGAUUAAAAGCUGCUCGUACACCAACUGGACCAAACCGGACUUUUACCUCAGUCACUUCAUCAGAUGCAGAGCGCCAGAUAUAGGUUCAGUCAAGUUGAUUAAAAGCUGCUCGUUCACCAACUGGACCAAACCGGAUUUUUACCUCAGUCACUUCAUCAGAUGCAGAGCGCCAGAUAUAGGUUCUGUCAAGUUGACUAAAAGCUUGUUCACCAACCAGAUUUUUUUUACCUCAGUCACUUCACUUCAUCUCAGUUGCAGAGCACCAGAUACAGGUGAGUUUUCACAGAAAUCUUUGGAAAUUCUUAAAAUUAACUAUCAAUUUGUGAUGCGGGUAACUUAAAGGGAUGGUUCGGACUAAAUUCAACCUAGGGUCAUUUGCACCAUGACCUCCAGCCAAACACCUCCCCAAAAGCUUUUUUUUCCCUUGGUCGAACAUUAUUAAAGUUAGAGCUUUUUUAGCGCGAUCAGCCAGAGGGCUUAGUGCAGGCGCUAAUUGACACACUGCAUGUUUCAGUGAUGCCUGUUUGUGUCAUUUGUUAUUUGAGAACACAUUUCAACAAUCUUCCUAAUUUCAUCAUGUGAAUCAUUUAUAAACCUGUUGUCUGAAGUUUCAGGGUCUCCCUGCAUUUGAAAGCAAAAAAUAAUAAGGCAGUAAUUAAAGAUAAUAAUAGGGAUGUAUGAUUAAUUUUUGGCUUCCAACGAUGAAAACAAGAUAAACGAGGUAGAACGGUCAUUGUGCCGCUGUUGCAUUACUUCGAGCACACCUUCAAUUCCUUCAGAGUUGUGCUUUCGUUUCUCCCUAAAACCCCAAACUUAAAGUGACAGCAGCUAAACUGCUGUCUGUCAGUGAUGAAAAUCAAACAAAUGACAUAGCAAAAUCACUCAAAGAUUUUGACUGUUUAAUCUGUGCUUAAAUAAGGAUUAAUCUAUAUUUAAUCUAUGCAAUAUGUAAUGUCAGUGUUUGCACACUGACUGAAUGGGCACUUCAUGCAGCACACAUAAAUUCAUAUUCACUUAUUCUUGAUUUAAAUUUUUAAAUUGGCAAGGCUUAAAAACAUGCGCAAAUGAGUUUAGUUUAAACACUGAUAGCAAUGUGUGCUGUUCAAGUCUCACCUGUGAUUGUGUGCUGUCAACACCUGUGUGAUAACUCAGUAAAUGACUGGUCAUAUUAGAGCAUAUGACACUCACAUUUAACAAAGUUUGCAAAGAGUGACUGUUUUGUCCACUUUUUUUUGAUCAUUGCUGUUGUAAUAUAUUGGAAAGUUAGAAUGUGUAUCCGACAUACAUUUGAUGUCAUACAUCCAGAAACAUUCAUUAGCAGAACUCUGUCUAUUUAAUGCAUUAUUUUCAACAAACCAUAUUAUCGAUAAAUUGUCAGAUUUGAGAUGAACCAGGACGCAAGUGCAUGCCAAACUGUGGGUGGAGAAUGUAAUGGUUCGAAAUAUAUAUAUAUAUUUUUUUAAACCGAGAACUGUUAUGCCCCUACUAUGUACAAUAGAGCUUUAUCACACUUCCCUUUUCCAGUAAGUGAAGCAGUGAAUCGCUACUUCCGGUACUAUCGCAGCACAAUCAAAACUAAUGGCUGAAUGUUUGCAUUGUUUUUGUUUUUUGUUUUACUCUUUUUAUAUUUUUCUGUACACCAUAAUCAUCAGAAUAUCUCUUCUCCUGUCUCUGAAAUUGUCCAGAUUUUGAAAUCAUUCUGCGGAUGCUCAUUUUAAGAGGUGUUUAGUCAACUAUGUGUUAACAGCACAUUAAAAAUAUACAUAACAGGAAGAAUCAAUACAUUGCUUUGGCAAGCACUUCCGGUAAUCUAUUUCACUGUGAUAAAGGUCUAUUGUAUGGUGUGGUUUCCAGCAGCCUGUCAUAUGAUCGCAACUUUGUUUCAUGCCAACUUUAAGCCUGAGAGACUUGACUAAGGGUGUUAUUGGGUGUUAUUUUUUUUUAAAUAAACUGUCUUUUUUUAUUGUAGGU